UACGUAGGGUGCAAGCGUUGUCCGGAUUUAUUGGGCGUAAAGAGCUCGUAGGCGGUUUGGCAAGUCGGGUGUGAAAACUUCAGGCUACAACCUGGAGAUGCCACCCGAGACUGCUAUGACUUGAGUCUGGUAGGGGAGCACGGGAAUUCCUGGAUGUAGCGGUGAAAUGACGCAGAUAUCAGGAGGAACACCGGUGGCGAAGGCGGUGCUCUGGGCCAGUACUGACGCUGGAGGAGCGAAAGCAUGGGGAGCAACAGG
rnacentral:rRNA from 1 species